rnacentral:rRNA from 1 species
UACGGGGGGGGCAAGCGUUGUUCGGAAUUACUGGGCGUAAAGGGUUCGUAGGUGGCCAAUUAAGUCAGACGUGAAAUCCCUCAGCUUAACUGGGGAACUGCGUCUGAGACUGGAUGGCUUGAGUGCAGGAGAGGAACGCGGAAUUCCAGGUGUAGCGGUGAAAUGCGUAGAUAUCUGGAGGAACACCGGUGGCGAAGGCGGCGUUCUGGACUGCAACUGACACUGAGACGCGAAAGCGUGGGGAGCAAACAGG